GACAGCGUGUCCGAGUGGUUAAGGAGUAUGACUCGAAUUCCCCGAAUUCAGAAAUCAUAUGCUUUCGAGCGCACAGGUUCGAGUCCUGUCGCUGUCG
rfam:Magnaporthe poae ATCC 64411 unplaced genomic scaffold supercont1.2, whole genome shotgun sequence.